GAUGAAGAACGUAGCGAAAUGCGAUAAGUAAUGUGAAUUGCAGAAUUCAGUGAAUCAUCGAAUCUUUGAACGCACAUUGCGCCCCCUGGUAAUCCGGGGGGCAUGCCUGUCCGAGCGUCAUUACAACCCUCAAGCUCAGCUUGGUGUUGGGCCCCGCCGCCCCGGCGGGCCCUAAAGUCAGUGGCGGUGCCGUCCGGCUCCGAGCGUAGUAAUUCUUCUCGCUCUGGAGGUCCGGUCGUGUGCUCGCCAGCAACCCCCAAUUUUUUUCAGGUUGACCUCGGAUCAGGUAGGGAUACCCGCUGAACUUAAGCAUAUCAAUAAGCGGAGGA
rnacentral:misc_RNA from 1 species